CACAAAGCUGUGGAAGGUUCAACGCUUGUCUAACGCGAUCUUCAGCACUUUAUCGGUAUAAUGAAGGUAAUUUAACUCAGAAGGUCUAACUAUAGUGGCAGGAUCACGUUGAAUGAGUACCUGGAGAUAAACUCGGCUUAACUUUGGACCUUUUUGUUUUGUAAUGGUUGUUCUGGACGUCGAUGAGCGCGGUGGGAAGUUUCCUCCGUCUCCGGAUUAUUCGACGAUAAAAUGUUUGUUUUCGUGUUUAAUCGGUCACAAAGGAGCUGUGUGUGUUUAUCAAAGCAGCUACAAACUGUUUGGAUUGAACAUAGAGCGGAGACAGAGGGGGAAGAGGAAUAACGAGCUUGUGUUUGAGAUCUGGUUACGACUACAGGAAAUCUAAAAAUAUGGUGCGGGUGGACUUUCUGUCUGCACCGCGGGUAGUUGACCAGACUUAACCGACAUCAUAUUAAUUUUAUUAAAUCCAUCACAAUGAUUUAUUUUAGAGGCUCUACAACACUCUGGAGAAAAUCUUAUAAACCAUCGAGCUCGCUAUGGAUUAUCAGGCGGACCAGCAGCGAGAGACGGCAGAGAGAGCUGAAACAGAAGCGGACAUGUCGAUCUGCUGUGCGGCCAGACUAAACCUCCACCUCCUGGUGUUUUCCUCACAAACGCCACAUCCAUCACAAUGACUUCAAAGAUUUGGAUCUCCUGAUCGCUGAUCGGACAACUUCAUCCAGAAAUGCAGUGUGAACAUAUAAAGAGAAAACAGGUGAACACGGGAAACACCAGGACUCUGAAAAGCUGGUGCUCAGAGGAAGAGGUCAGACUUGGAGUGGCAGUAAUGAAAAAAAGCUCAAAUGAGUGAGAAGGACGAUGAAGGAAACAUCUGUGCUGUGUCUGCUCUAGUUUCUACCAGAGCCAAAUGUCAUCGACUCCUCACUGAAGUCGUCCACCAGUCCAACCACUGGAAUCCAGCUGCUGCUCUCUAACUGGUCCACACAGCAGCUCAGACCUGACACAUUCACUGUAAACACACUGGUUUAUAUUCUGUUUGUUCUCCUCAUGAAGGAAACCUCAGAAGAUGUGAAAUGUGAGUGUGUGUCUGCGCCUCACUGGUUGUUUCUGUCUGAUGGAAA